AUUGAACGCUGGCGGCAGGCCUAACACAUGCAAGUCGAACGAGUGGCGGACGGGGGAGUAAUGUCUGGGAAACUGCCCGAUGGAGGGGGAUAACUACUGGAAACGGUAGCUAAUACCGCAUACCAUCGGAUGUGCCCAGAGGGGUUUAGCGAGCGGGUGGGGUAACGGCUUACCUAGGCGACGAUCCCUAGCUGGUCUGAGGGGAUGACCAGCCACACUGGGACUGAGCCACGGUCCAGACUCCUACGGGAGGCAGCAGUGGGGAAUAUUGCACAAUGGGCGCAAGCCUGAUGCAGCCAUGCCGCGUGUGUGAAGAAGGCCUUCGGGUUGUAAAGUACGUUCAGCGGGGAGGCGUUACCCGCAGAGGAAGCACCGGCUAACUCCGUGCCAGCAGCCGCGGUAAUAC
rnacentral:rRNA from 1 species